AUACUUACCUGGCAGGGGAGACACCAUGAUCAUGAAGGUGGUUUGCCCAGGGUGAGGCUCGUCCAUUGCACUCUGGGUGUGCUGACCCCUGCAAUUUCCUCAAAUGCAGGAAACUCAACUGCAUAAUUUGUAGUAGUGGGGGACUGCAUUCGCACUUUCCCCCC
rnacentral:snRNA from 1 species